rnacentral:rRNA from 1 species
GGCGAUGCGUGGCUUGUAGUCGCUAGCUCGGAUAGCACCGUGAGUGAUAUCGCACGCGUUGCUCCUUUGAAGUUAGCGGCGGACGGGUGAGUAACACGUGGGUAACCUACCUAUAAGACUGGAAUAACUUCGGGAAACCGGAGCUAAUGCCGGAUAACAUAUAGAACCGCAUGGUUCUAUAGUGAAAGAUGGUUUUGCUAUCACUUAUAGAUGGACCCGCGCCGUAUUAGCUAGUUGGUAAGGUAAAGGCUUACCAAGGCGACGAUACGUAGCCGACCUGAGAGGGUGAUCGGCCACACUGGAACUGAGACACGGUCCAGACUCCUACGGGAGGCAGCAGUAGGGAAUCUUCCGCAAUGGGCGAAAGCCUGACGGAGCAACGCCGCGUGAGUGAUGAAGGUUUUCUGAUCGUAAAACUCUGUUAUUAGGGAAGAACAAAUGCGUAAGUAACUGUGCGCAUCUUGACGGUACCUAAUCAGAAAGCCACGGCUAACUACGUGCCAGCAGCCGCGGUAAUACGUAUGUGGCAAGCGUUAUCCGGAAUUAUUGGGCGUAAAGCGCGCGUAGGCGGUUUUCUUAAGUCUGAUGUGAAAGCCCACGGCUCAUCCGUGGAGGGUCAUUGGAAACUGGGAAACUUGAGUGCAGAAGAGGAAAGUGGAAUUCCAUGUGUAGCGGUGAAAUGCGCAGAGAUAUGGAGGAGCACCAGUGGCGAAAGCGACUUUCUGGUCUGUAACUGACGCUGAUGUGCGAAAGCGUGGGGGAUCAAAACAGAUUAGAUACUCUGGUAGUCCACGCCGUAACGAUGAGUGCUAAGUGUUAAGGGGGUUCCGCCCCUUAGUUGCUGCAGCUAACGCAUUAAGCACCUCCGCCUGGGGGAGUUACGAUCGGCACGUGGAAACUUCAACGAUGACCGGGACUCGCACAGCGAUGGAGCCAUGUGUAAUUCGAAGCCAACGCGAGAUCAUCACCUACUCUGACAUCGUUGGAACAUC